UCAAACUUCGGGGAUGAAGUCCCCCGUGUAACUGCUCGAUGAGCUGAUGACUUCUGCUGUGAA
rnacentral:ncRNA from 2 species